CAGCCGCCACGGGAAUACGGAGGGUGCAAGCGUUAAUCGGAUUUACUGGGCGUAAAGCGUGCGUAGGCGGCUUCUUAAGUCGGAUGUGAAAUCCCUGAGCUUAACUUAGGAAUUGCAUUCGAUACUGGGAAGCUAGAGUAUGGGAGAGGAUGGUAGAAUUCCAGGUGUAGCGGUGAAAUGCGUAGAGAUCUGGAGGAAUACCGAUGGCGAAGGCAGCCAUCUGGCCUAAUACUGACGCUGAGGUACGAAAGCAUGGGGAGCAAACAGGAUUAGAUACCCCAGUAGUCCCUGUCUCUUAUAA
rnacentral:rRNA from 1 species